UCUCUUUCUUACUCUCUAUCUCUCUAUUUAUUUAUCUCUGUCUCUCUCUUUCUCUGAACUUUCUCUCUCACCCUUGCCCAGAGUCCGGCAGGAACAUGGCGGCGAAGCCCGGAGGCGCUGCUCCGCGCUGGGCUGGGGCUGACAGGAAAGCUGCUCAACCUCAUGCCAAGUCUUUCCUCUGCUUUCAGGAAUCGGAGAAGGCGGCGGCGGCCGGGGCGAUGGCGGGGCUGGGGCCCGGGGCUCCACAGCAGCAGGCGGCCGGAGCCGCUGGGGACGAGUCCUCAGACAGCGACGGGGAGCACGAAGGGCCGCAGAAACUCAUCAGGAAAGUGUCCACCUCCGGGCAGAUCAGGAGCAAGAUGAAGUUACAUAUUUUGCCAUUGUGAGAUUUGAACUCUUGAUCUUGAACCCAGUACCAUAACCACUUGGCUAUCCAUGCAUCAGAUGAGAGCUGUCAAUGCAGGCAGAGGCAGAGACACAGAAGUGAUUGACUGAAAGUAGGUGAAGAAAGUGAUUGAUGGACUGUUUGUGAAUGUAAUUGCACUUGCCUGUUGGAGCUAGUAAGAGUGUCCGAGAAAGAGAGAGAGCAACAUAAAGAGGCAAGCAGAGGCUGAGGGAAUAAGGAGAGACAGAGAUCGAGCUUAAAGGAUGCCAGUGUUUAUAGUGAACAUAAGCCUCCUUCCACUUCUCUGACACCAACAGCACAUCUUUAUAUUCCUUUUUCCUUCAUCUGCUUAUCCAGCUUUUCUUUAAAUGUAUGUAUGACAUUUGUCUCAAUUAUUCCCUGUGGUAGCAAGUUUCAUGUUCUAAACACUCUGGGUAAAGAAAUUUUCCUGAACUUGCAAGAGGAAAGGCAGAGAGAAAAUAGCAUAAAAACUGUAACUGCACACCCAAGAAAAGACGGAAAAUAUUAUGGAAACUGAAGAUGAGGAGAGAGACAGGAGAAAAUAGAGUAGAAAUCACAGAGAGAAAAACAGGGAAAGUAAUGAAUGCUCAGAAGAAAACAAAUAUUAGAAUAUUGAAGUAAAACAGAACCAGUGAGGGGAGAAAAUACAGGUAUUGCACAAGAGUGCAGGGAGAGAGAGGGAGAGCAGUUUAAUGAAGACUGCAGAAAGAGAUGCAAAUGCAGAAGACAAGAUGAGAAAUGGGAAUAAAACAGUACAGAGUGAAAGAGGAAGGCAAAAUAUGGAAGCUAUAGCAAGAGUACAGAAAUGAGAGAGAAAAUAUUGCAAGACAUAGUACUGAGACAGAAGAUGUGGAAACCAUCUGCUGCAAUUUGGCUGGAGCAGGAUUAGCUGAUGCAAUUGACGCAAACACAAUGGCAUGGUUUUGUCCUGUGUACCAUUUUGAUUGUUAAAAUGAAUAAUCUUUUGGCUACUUUGGGCAAUUUUCCACAACAUCUGGGCUCAAACAGCCUGGAAAUCUGACAGUACCAAUUUCUUCAACAUUCUGCCCUGAUAAAUAGAAAAUGAAAAAGAGUAUAAAGCAGACAUUGGUUGGGGAAGAUGAAAAAGGAGAGAGACCGUAGAGUGGAAUUAUUCUGUAUCUCUGAGUGGAGCAGGAAGGCUGGGAAGGGGUGUGUAGUGCCAAAUUUUGAGGUGCAGGAGCUCUAAAAAAAUGUAUUGCCAUAUCAUUUCUAAAUCUACUAUUAUGUUGUUUUCCUAUGUAUUAAUUAUUUAA